GUGACAUGCUAACGGGGCGGUGAGCAGCUUUCUGCGGCUCUGACUGCGCGAGAGGCGGGAGCAGCGAGCAACAUCGAUACCUGAUGACGAGUGUGAAAGAACCACCGGAGAAGCUGAUCUGUGCAAAGUGAAUCCAGACAGGCCUGCCGUUGUAGUUCACCCAGCGGCCACCGCGAGGCAGUCUAGCCACACUCUUGACCUCGGCAGACUGUUUAAUCCAGAAGGCUGUUGCAACUCAUGCUGACCAGCCGCGCCUCAAGGGUUCCCUCUCCUCCUCCUCCUGCUGCUGUCGCCUCCUUUUGAAAAGCAGGUGUGAGAGUGUGAGUGGACUGGACGGCCCUUUUGGGGGGACAGGCACUGACCCCAAACCGGGAGUCUCCUGGACCGCUCAGCCCGUUGUGAGUGCUCACGUCCUCAGACCCCCCCUCCCCUCCAAGG